rnacentral:misc_RNA from 1 species
AACACUCUUUAAUCCUAACCUAUAGCUCUGUUGAUUCUCUUCUUCUUUUUCUCAGUUAUUAUAACUCAGAAAGAUUUUGGCAUUUAUCACCUCCCUUCUUUACUUUCUUUUCUUUUCAUUUUCUUUCUUUCUUUCUUUUUUCUCCAUUUCUUCAGAAUAUCAUGAUGAUUAUAUGUGUCCCAUUUUAUUUUCAUUCUAAAUAAAGGUUUUUUUGUUCCUUGGAGUGCUUGCUGUUGCAUCUAUGUCAGAAGAAUCAGUUGCUAGUCUAUAUGGAUCCUUUUUCUCCACUUAGCUACCCUACUUUCCAUUAGCUGUUGCAAGUCUUAAGCAUCAAGUAAACCAUAAAGAAAGAUUUAGAAAAGAGCAAUGUCUAUAUUUAAGUCUGGUUCGGGUGAGCAUUGGUUGCCGCCAGUGAAUGGGGAUACAUUAUGACAUUCAAACUUCAAUUUUUGCAGGUAAGAGUAGAGAUCCAGAAAGCCAAACUUGAGUUGUUGGUUGAACUUCAAAGACAGCCGACAGAGGAAGAGAUUAUAGAGAGGGUGGGGAUCUCU